rnacentral:rRNA from 1 species
UACGAGGGGGGCAAGCGUUGUUCGGAAUUAUUGGGCGUAAAGGGUGCGUAGGCGGUUUGACAAGUCUACUGUGAAAUCUAUGGGCUCAACCCAUAGUCUGCAUUGGAAACUGUCGGGCUUGAGUAUGGGAGAGGUGAGUGGAAUUUCCGGUGUAGCGGUGAAAUGCGUAGAUAUCGGAAGGAACACCUGUGGCGAAAGCGGCUCACUGGACCAUUACUGACGCUGAUGCACGAAAGCUAGGGGAGCAAACAGG